rnacentral:misc_RNA from 1 species
AGAAAACAGUUCUUCGAAACCUGAUAAAAACACUCCCAAUAGACAUAUUAUGUCCUCAACUCCAAUGAACAUCAACACAAUUUCAUUAAUUCUUAAUAUUCUCAAACUCAAUUUCAUACAUUUCAUUCAUCACAUACUUAAGCUCAAUUUCAUGUAGAAAUACCCAAAUUUUAUUUAUAAACAAAAUUUACAACUAAUUACAUCAGUCUGUAAGUACAUGAGUUUAUCAUUUACAAGACAAAAACUAAUGUCUAUUACAAAAUGCAAAAUACAAAAUACGAAAGGAAGCCUAGUGGUCCUACCAAAAUGCACUAUAGUGGAGGUGACUCAGGACUCAACGCAGAUCUCUACUCUCACCCAGUCUGAGGUCUGUUGGGCUCUCUAUUUGUGUCUCUAGUACCUGCGCAUGGCAAAAAGCAACACGCUAAGCAAUGCAGCUUAGUGGUGCCAAUAUAAUG